rnacentral:rRNA from 1 species
UACGAAGGGGGCUAGCGUUGCUCGGAAUCACUGGGCGUAAAGGGCGCGUAGGCGGCUGAUUUAGUCGAGGGUGAAAGCCUGUGGCUCAACCACAGAAUUGCCUUCGAUACUGGUUGGCUUGAGACCGGAAGAGGACAGCGGAACUGCGAGUGUAGAGGUGAAAUUCGUAGAUAUUCGCAAGAACACCGGUGGCGAAGGCGGCUGUCUGGUCCGGUUCUGACGCUGAGGCGCGAAAGCGUGGGGAGCAAACAGG